UGUAGAUGGCGCAAAUCACCGAAUUGGCUCGGAAUCUCACCGGAGAAGCUGUUGUUUCCCAAAUUGAGUAUCUGGAGGUUUCCGAGUUGACUCAGCUCCGUCGGUAAAGACCCGUUGAGGCUAUUCAACGCCACGGUGAACAAAACGAGGCUGGUGCAGUUUCCUAACUCGGGCGGAAUCGGUCCUUGGAGGUAGUUUUGUUGUAGAAUUAAGGCUUGGAGGUUAACGAGUCGACCGAGUUGACUCGGUAUUGAACCGGUGAGUCUACACUUGGCCAAUGCGAGCGUCUGGAGAUUGACGAGGUUACCGAACGUAUCCGGGAUUGAUCCGAUUAGGUCGUUGUCUCCGAGUUUUAACGACCUGAGGUUCACGAGUGAGCCGAGUUGACUCGGUAGCUCGCCGGUGAGUUGGUUAGAGAAGAGAUGCAAAGUUUCCAAGGAGGCGGAGAGGUUGGAGAGAGCAGUUGGGAUGGGACCCACGAGACUGUUGGAAGAUAGAUCGAGGUGGAUUAGGUUACUAAACCGGCCAAUCGAAGGAGAGAUUGAACCGGUUAAGUCAAAAUCAGAGAGAUUUAAACCGAUGACGACACGACCACGGCACGUGACACCGGUCCAGUUGCAGUAAUUGAGAUCAUCUGAAUUCCAGUUUUGGAGAACCUUUUCGUCUUCUGGGUUUAUCACAAUAGACUUCUUCACUUCGAGAAGAGUUUGAAGAUCGUCACUUUGAACCGGCUGACCCAAACCCGGCCCGAUCGAAAACCAGAGGACGAGCAACACAAUAAGAAGAGAACUUUGCUGCAUUUUUUUCCCUUCGUUUUUCUUCUUCUUCUUCAGAAACAAGAGACGUAUGAAAGUGAAUGAAGUAUCUUGAGUUUCUUGUGGUGAUUAGUGUGAGACUAGUGUUGGAAACAUAGAGAAUUUAAGACAAUUGUUGGUCCCUUUGGUUGAAGACGAAUGAUUGGUCGUAAGAACGGUGCAUGGGGACUCUCUCUCUCUAUCUAUCCAUCUAUAUGACAUAUAAUCUGAGCAUAUGUUUGUGUAUAUAUAUAUAUGUUUAAUGUGGUGAGUUAGAGGAGAAGUUAAUGCAGAUAAAGCUAGGGAUGGGGGUAUAAGUUUAAAUCUAUAUAGAUAUCUAUACUAUUGAUCCCAUUGUCAUAAUUACCUUAGGGUCAUGUUUCAUUCACUAACAUUGCAUGUUUCAUUAAGGGCAAUUAAGUAAUAUUAAUAACAAAUCUAUAUUGGGUCAUUAUUUUUGGAUCCAGCCCAAAUCAAAUCUCUCUUGGGCCAUUUGGGCCUAUUAAAAAAUCAGAUUCAAUUCUCACCUUUUUUUUUCCUUUGGACCAUUGAGUCCAAGUUCAAAUAAUUUUUUUUCAACUAUUCUUAAUUAUUAUUUUUUUCUUUUCUUAAUAUAAUUUAAGCAUUCAUAAAAAUAAUUGAAUUUUUUUAUUGAAAAGUAUAAAUCUUUAUUAAAAGUAUAUAAUUUUUUAAUUAAAAUAUUAACCCCAUAAUAAAAUUAAUUUAUCAGAGUUAUACCAACUUAAUUCAUUAAAAAAAUAAAGUUUAAUUUUUUUAACAUAAAUAGUCAUUUAAAAUGAAAUACGAUAAAUAAAGAUAAAAUUUUUAAGUCUUUUAUAAAAUAAAACACAAAUAUAUGAAAAUGUGACAUUUACUAAAUAUUUGUCAAUUGAAAAAAAAAACAAAAAUAAACCCGCGCUUUGAAAGCGCGGGUCAAAAUCUAGUNNNNNNNNNNNNNNNNNNNNNNNNNNNNNNNNNNNNNNNNNNNNNNNNNNNNNNNNNNNNNNNNNNNNNGCUUGCCAUUUAGAGAACUGCUUCUUCAACUUCCCCUCGAGGUUGUUGUAAGAGAGGUUGAGAUACACUAAGCUCUUCAUGUCCCCGAUCUGUCCAGGAACAACUCCGAUAAGGUGAUUGUGAGACAGAUCAAGUGAUUCAAGCUUAUGUAACGUCGAGAUCGUAGAUGGAAUGUCUCCGGUGAAGUUGUUGUAGCUGAGAUCUAAAGCACUUUGAAGAUCCUGUAGCUGUCCAAUCUCAACAGGGAUUUCUUCGGAUAAGAUGUUUCUCGAUAACCGGAGCUCGUAAAGCUUGCUCAGCUUGCCUAUUUCUGAAGGAAGCUCACCUGAAAACUGAUUCUUUCCGAGGUUAAGUACAUUGAGUGCUUCAAAGUUUCCAAUCUCUUGUGGGAUUGAACCGUUAAGUGAGUUUCCAUCGAGAGAUAGCACAAGAAGCUUUGUUAAGUUGAAAAUCUCCUUAGGGAGUGAACCGGUAAACUGAUUAGAAGAAAGCUUGAGCUCACCAAGCAGUGGAAGCUUCCCAAGCCAUGGAGGUAUAACCCCUGAAAGAAAGUUAUCGUUGAGAUCAAUGUGUGUCAGCUUCUUACACAAACCAAGCUCUAACGGUAUGUUUCCUGUCAGAGAGUUGCUCGAGACAUCCAACAAAGACAAAGCACUAAUCUUCCCAAAUGUCCAAGGGAUUCUUCCUGUGAACUGAUUCUUCCCUAACCUUAACCGGUCGAGACUCCGAGACUUCCCUAGCUGAAGAGGUACAUCUCCCUCGAAUUCGUUAUCCGUGACAUCAAAAGAGAGAUAAGAGCUUGAACCGCACAACGCACUGAUCGAGCCAUUGAGCUUGUUGCUUGAGAAGUUGAUCCUUGUGAGAUUCUUCAGGUUGAUGAGCGAACUCGGAAGACUCCCCCGAAGAGAAUUGUUGUAAAGAUGCAACUGUUCUAACGACUUCAAGAACCCGAACGAGGAAGGAAUCGAACCCGAGAGCUGGUUGUCAGCUAAAUCAAGAAUCGUCAGCUUGUGACAGUUACCUAAAGCGGCGGGAAUGUUACCAACGAACUCGUUCUCUCUCAAGUGAAGCAGAGUAAGGUCAUCUAAUCUCCCAAUAGAGGAAGGAAUCUCUCCACUGAAAUGAUUCCCAAACAUAUCAACCGACUUCAGACUCGUGCAGUUCCCAAUCUCGGUCGGGAUUUCACCGGAAAACCGGUUCUCGUAUAGAUACAGAACUUCUAAUUUGCUGAGGAAACCGAUUUCGUUAGGUAACUUCCCCUCCAAGUCAUUGUGAUACAGAGCAAGCUCUUGUAGAUUCCUUAGGCUAGAUAUUGGGUGAGAUAACGUACCCUUCAAGGUAUUGUUGUUAAGAUAUAAAACCGUGAGUUCAGCGAGCUUGAACAAUGAAUCUGGGAUUCGUCCGGAGAGCGUGUUGUUCGACAGAUCAAGCGCUUGUAAUGACUGACAUUUGCUAACUUCCGCCGGGAUUUCGCCGGAGAGUUGAGUUCCAGACAAAACCAGUUGCUUCAAGCUUGUGUUGUUAGAGCACAAGCUCUUUCGUAAGGAACCAGAGAGACGGUUAUUGGCUAGAACCAAAUCUUCAAGCUGGUUCAUAUUCCAGAACUCUUCGUGUAUCUCUCCGGUGAGAUUGUUGUUGGACAAAUCAAGGGUUUGAAGAUUCUCCAAACCGGUUACUCUCUUUGGAAUCGGACCUUGAAGUCUGUUACCAACCAAGUUAAGGUAGUGUAGAUGGCGCAAAUCACCGAAUUGGCUCGGAAUCUCACCGGAGAAGCUGUUGUUUCCCAAAUUGAGUAUCUGGAGGUUUCCGAGUUGACUCAGCUCCGUCGGUAAAGACCCGUUGAGGCUAUUCAACGCCACGGUGAACAAAACGAGGCUGGUGCAGUUUCCUAACUCGGGCGGAAUCGGUCCUUGGAGGUAGUUUUGUUGUAGAAUUAAGGCUUGGAGGUUAACGAGUCGACCGAGUUGACUCGGUAUUGAACCGGUGAGUCUACACUUGGCCAAUGCGAGCGUCUGGAGAUUGACGAGGUUACCGAACGUAUCCGGGAUUGAUCCGAUUAGGUCGUUGUCUCC
rnacentral:lncRNA from 1 species